UACGGGGGGGGCAAGCGUUGUUCGGAAUUACUGGGCGUAAAGGGCUCGUAGGUGGCCAACUAAGUCAGACGUGAAAUCCCUCGGCUUAACCGGGGAACUGCGUCUGAUACUGGAUGGCUUGAGUUUGGGAGAGGGAUGCGGAAUUCCAGGUGUAGCGGUGAAAUGCGUAGAUAUCUGGAGGAACACCGGUGGCGAAGGCGGCAUCCUGGACCAACACUGACGCUCAUGUGCGAAAGCGUGGGGAGCAAACAGG
rnacentral:rRNA from 1 species